rnacentral:ncRNA from 19 species
AUAAUGUACUUUGGUGCAGGUGCCCGUAUGGGCCUAACAGAGAAGCCGGUUUAAAGCCGGCGCGGACCCGCCACUGUGAUGGGGAGCGAAUCCAUGAUAUACCACUGAGAUCCAGCGAUCUUGGGAAGGUUUGGAGGAGCGAUGAGCCAGAGCCAGGAGAACUGCCUGCAUGACGAUCACCAUU